rnacentral:rRNA from 1 species
UACGUAGGGACCAAGCGUUGUUCGGAUUUACUGGGCGUAAAGGGCGCGUAGGCGGCAAUUCAAGUCAUCUGUGAAAUCUCUGGGCUUAACCCAGAACGGCCAGGUGAUACUGCUUUGCUAGAGUGCGGAAGGGGCUAUCGGAAUUCUUGGUGUAGCGGUGAAAUGCGUAGAUAUCAAGAGGAACACCUGAGGUGAAGACGGGUUGCUGGGCCGACACUGACGCUGACAGCGCGAAAGCCAGGGGAGCAAACGGG